rnacentral:misc_RNA from 1 species
GCCGGGAUGUGAGUCGCUCC